AGCAGUUGGAUCAAGGUGUGAUAUUUUCUUCAGCAGCUCAGGAGAGACAGCCUAAACAGAGUGAAAGAAACAAACAAACAUAGAACAGAUGAUAGAAGACGGUUAGCACAGCUUGAAUGACACAAUGAACAACAGCAGGAGGGAUAACAUAACUCCUCAGCUCUGAGAAAAUGCUAAACAAGACAACAUGGUGCGAGUAUUCUGUCACUAGCAGCAAUAGCACAUAACUCAGUCAUGCGUUGAAAAGAUUGAAGUGCAGACUGAACCUGAGAUUGAAAAUAAUAUCACAAUUGGCAAAGACGCUAUUCCUUAGCUCUUCAGCUACAGCUCGUAUUCCCCGCAUGUAGGGAGAAGAGUCGGAGAAAUGGACAAAUCUAGGAUUAUUUCUCAUCAA